GACAGAGGGUGCAAACGUUGUUCGGAAUUACUGGGCGUAAAGCGCGUGUAGGCUGCUCGGAAAGUCGGAUGUGAAAGCCCUGGGCUCAACCUAGGAAGUGCAUUCGAAACUACCGAGCUGGAGUUCUGGAGAGGAAGGCGGAAUUCUCGGUGUAGAGGUGAAAUUCGUAGAUAUCGAGAGGAACACCGGUGGCGAAGGCGGCCUUACUGGACAGUGACGUGACGCUGAGACGCGAAAGCGUGGGGAGCAAACAGG
rnacentral:rRNA from 1 species